rnacentral:rRNA from 1 species
UACGUAGGUGGCAAGCGUUGUCCGGAUUUACUGGGCGUAGAGGGCGUGCAGGCGGUUUGUUAAGUCUAGGGUGAAAGCUCCCGGCUCAACUGGGAGAGGUCCUUGGAUACUGGCAGACUUGAGGAGGGUAGAGGAGAGUGGAAUUCCCGGUGUAGUGGUGAUAUGCGUAGAUAUCGGGAAGAACACCAGUGGCGAAGGCGGCGACCUGGGUCUAAACUGACACUGAGAUGCGAAAGCGUGGGGAGCAAACAGG